rnacentral:rRNA from 1 species
CUCGUGUCGUGAGAUGUUGGGUUAAGUCCCGCAACGAGCGCAACCCUUGAUCUUAGUUGCCAGCAUUCAGUUGGGCACUCUAAGGUGACUGCCGGUGACAAACCGGAGGAAGGUGGGGAUGACGUCAAAUCAUCAUGCCCCUUAUGACCUGGGCUACACACGUGCUAUAAUGGACAGAACAAAGGGCAGCGAAACCGCGAGGUUAAGCCAAUCCCACAAAUCUGUUCUCAGUUCGGAUCGCAGUCUGCAACUCGACUGCGUGAAGCUGGAAUCGCUAGUAAUCGCGGAUCAGCAUGCCGCGGUGAAUACGUUCCCGGGCCUUGUACACACCGCCCGUCACACCACGAGAGUUUGUAACACCCGAAGUCGGUGAGGUAACCUUUUAGGAGCCAGCCGCCGAAGGUGGGACAGAUGAUUGGGGUGAAGUCGUAACAAGGUAACC